UGUUAGUAUACUUUCUUCGCUUGGGUUGUAAAUAUUUAGCUAGUGUUUGCGAAGCUAUGCAAAAUAGUGUCUACAUUUUCUACAAAGAUCGCUUUGAAAUGGCCCAAAAGUUACGCGUUCAAGUGGAGUUGUGAAAUGGUGUAGUAUUUAACUUAAUCCCGCUGUUCCUCGUUUGCGAAUUUGUAGCGAAAAUGGAAGUUGUUCUCCAUUCGGAAAUCGCUCGAGUAGUUUUGGCUUAUCUGUACGAGCAAAAACUGAACAAGGCCGCCGAAGAAUUCUGCAAUGCAAGUCUACACCUUAAGGAGGAACGAAAAGUGUUGAAAAAAGGCUAUCGACCUGUAAUGUACUCUAGCCUGAAAUUGAGAGAUUUGUUUCGAGAGUAUAGCGAAAUUCAGAUGAAAUUGAAGAACUUUAUUGAAAAGUUUAAUUUAGAUGUUCCCAUUCAGAGUGAUUGGACUCUGUUGAAAAAAGUCGACUUCCUUUUGUCCAUGGUAGCGCGAAAAUGUAUCCGAAAGUCAAAAGCUCAGGUUGUUGUUAACGGAGAGGAUGAUGAACACCGCAGAAGCUUGCCCGUGACGUGUGGUGCAAGCCGUCGAAAACGAGUCAAUUCGUCUCCUCCCAUAUCAAUGUCUAGCAGUACACCGGAAACUGGCGAACCAAAGCAGAAAAGAGUAUGUUUGAGUCAAUCUUUUAUAGUGUUAAAUGAAUCCACUACUGUAGUGGAGACGAAUGUUUCGAAUAUCUCACGUAUAUCUUCAAUAUGCGGAGAAGAUAGCAGCAGAGAUUCGGUGGAAGACGUUGCAGAGGACGCCGGUGCAAAAGCAUCUGACAAAGAAGUAGAGGAUAACGAUUUAGAGAUUAGAAAGUUUCCACCGAUAGAUUUAUUCUCACAAACACUGCUAGAAAACGAAAGCUACCCGGAGAAAAUAGCAGAUUUGAUUAACAAGGGUUUGGAAACGUCCCUGAAUCAGCAGCCGAAUUCGGAUCCGAAGGAGGGUACUUCAGCUAUCCCAAUGAAAGAAGACGAAACGGCGAAAAAACAAAAGCAAGAUAAUCAGUUAAUGAAUUUUAACUUUGAUGAACUGAUAUCCAAUAUUGUGAACAGUGCGGUAAAGGAUCCUGUUUUUGACGACAUGAUGGUUGAUAUCAGCAGCAAGGCAGGAAAGGGCGAUAACGACAAAGAAGAUGUAACGGCACAACCGCUGCCGGUAACAGAGACGCCACUUAAGGCUAGGCUGAGAAAAACUUGCAAGAAAAAUUACAACUCAUUUUCUGCUACGAAAAAAUCAGCUAAGAAAGUAAGUGUAAUUUCCAAUGUUCCUUAUUCUGGAUCUUUACCCGAAGUCGUAAGUGCGGACGCUGUCUCUGGCCCGACUGACAUUGUUCAACCGACUGUUUCCUCUACGGCGGAGGAUGAACCGAGUCCGGCAGCGCCAACCACCCAGUUCUAUGUCAUCCAGCCGGACAAUUCAACAAAACUGAUGGACAUAAAUCAACUGCCGUUUCCAAACCAUCAGCAACUUAGUGUGACUCAACCAAAUCCGCUGGUACCGGCCGCGCCGACGUUGUUACCCAUCUCCGGUAGUGGAAUUCCGGAAAAUACUUAUUUCAUAAAUAUCCCGAAUUACUAUUUCGACACCGGCUCCCAGUAUCCGAUGUUACAAAAUGCUUAUCCACCCUUGAUCGGGGAUCAGUUAAUAAGUAAUUCUACAAUUUCCGUGACAGAUUCAACACCCAGUCCGGAAAAGUUUCUCGUUUUUCCUUCCACUGCGCCGAAUAUUGUUAGCAGUAUCAGCGCGACAACAGCGACGUUCAACACAGGUACAAUAACCACGACCAACACGACAGCAGUCAUUAGCAGUGUUUGUUCCGCGUUUGUUCCGAUUCAAACCAAACAGGAAAUCAAAAGGACCCCUCCCAAUUUCAUAUCCACUAAUGCAGAAACUCGAUGCUCAUCUACGCCAAGUAGAAAAGCGUCCCACAUUCGGAUUCUGAACUUUCAGACUCCUAUCAAGAGUCACUUUCCAUCGACAAUAACUCCUGGAUCCGCUCCGGCAUCGGUUGACCAUCGAAUCGUUUAUCCUCGAAUACCAAAACUGGAAUGUAUUGAAGAAGCUUCGCAACCGCAACCGGAUUGUCCGAACACACCGUCCACUAGCCAGAUCACCCUUGCCGGUGACUGGGAUUUGGUUCACGGUAUAGGUGCCAUCACGUCCAACUCCCUACCGUCGCAUUUAAAUUCUGUCUCCAAUACACCGCGUGUCGCGAAGGAUCCUCGUAACUGCGUUCGAGUUUUGUCACGUUCUGCUAGCGAAGACGGUGACAAACCGAAAACACCGCCGAUGGUGGAAAUUCCAGUGAAAGAAAUCCGCAAGAAAUCGGUUGCCAAAACAAAAGUCUCUGCUCCGGCGGUUCCGGUUGCUCCGGUCUCAUCUCAACCGGUAAAAGAUGUUGACAUGGAAGAGUGGCGUCGAAUCCGAUCCGUUUCCAAGUUUAACUUUGAUCAACAUUUGCGACAAGUCGAGGAACAGAAGCAGAUUCAAAAUAAGGUUACCAAAAAGAAGCGCAACAAAACGCCAUCUCGGAAAGCAACGUCUAGCUUUGCGAACGCAUCUACGGAAAGUGUCGCGGAAGGGGACACCUCGCUGACGGAAACCCAUGCACAGAUGCUAGAGGAUGCACUGGCAUCGGCCAAGAAACCCGACACCGUCACUGGGAAGACCCCGGCCAAAACUCCUGCCAGUAAAGUGAAAACAUUGCCCAAGGAAAAGGAGAAUCAAGAGGAACCAAGUAAGAUCUACGUUAAGUUUACGUCCCCGAGAAAGCGGACACCGGCCAAACGACGGAUGGCCAAGGGAGGCAGCACUAGAAAAUCCGCCAGAAAACGGAAAUCGACCAGCCCAAAGACAAAGAUAACGGAAAAUAAACCCACGGAGAAAGAAUUGGAAGAAUCUCCCACCGUCGAAUCGGAGCCUUCUGUGAAACCAGAACACGAAUCUACCGAGCAGAUUUCUUCGCCGGAAACAAAAUUUACUACUUCUGAAGAACCGGAACCGGCAUUUCCUGAAUCGUCAACUACACCUUCUGAUCCACCAGCAGUAGAUCCACCAGAUCCAUCAGAAGCACCAUCGGUAGCACCUUCUGAUCCAUCGGAAGCUCCUGCGAAUUCUUCAGUGGCAGCUGCCGCCGUUCCCUCAGUGGCAUCUUCCAAUUCAACAGCAGCACCUUCCGAACCACCCAAAGCGGUGAAAGAUCAUCCCAAGGUGCUUGCGAAAAAAUCCAGUGCUGAGUAUACCCGCAAGGAACAGGAAAAGCAGCAACUGCAGCAAGACGCACCGGUAUCUAACGAUGACUCGACGACGCUGCAAGACCAUGAAAAACUAGAUCCCAGCUCGUGCCACGUCGCCACCGAUUGUACUCUUGGACCUUCUCUUUUUAUGCAAACACCGUUCAAAAGUGAACCGAAUAAUUUCCCUAUCACGCCACGAUUCCUAGUUCCGGAACAGCUGCUCGACACUCCGAUGACGAAAAUUAUGCGUGACUUGAAAGGAAUCGACGCCAGCUCGUCGAUGACGAAGUCGUGUGAAAUUCAAACACCCAGUUUUCCCAUUACCCCCGGGUUGAUCAGUACUCCAAAAUCGAUAAAUUCGGUUAGUCCUCAGAGUAACACCGGGGGAGGAUUUAGCUCUCGUAGAACCGAUUAUUCAUCUGGUAGUUCGUACUACAAACCGGACGAAUCGGAAGAUUUGGAUAAAAAUCUCGAAGCGAUGUUACAUGGAGAAAAACGAAAGCGACUGGCAGGGGAAAUCAGUUCCACAGUAGAAGAACCAAAAUGUCAACCAGUAGAAGUAGAGCUAAUAGAAAAAGAUCAGCCUAUCGUCGAACCGCCCGACCAAUCGGCACCUCUGCCGGAUUCAGUUGAACAUAAUUCGUCGAGUUCGGACUCUAGCAGUAGCUCUGAUUCAUCCUCCAAUUCUAGCAGUGCUGCCAGUACCCCGGAGAAAGAACCCUGCCACGAUAAUGCUGCUGCUGCUGCUGCUGUCGAAAGUCCUAAGCACACGGUUCCAGUGCAGCCCCUUAGUGCCACCGAAAUUCGCCGUCAGUUACAUCAGGCUGAAUUGGAAGCGAAAAAGCAACGAAUGAUUGCUUCUUUAAAAACUACUCAUAUUCCUCCGUUGAAACGGGUAGAACGAAAGUUUAUCGGUGCUCCCGGAUUUAAAUCACGAAAAGUGGUGGUUACCCGUAAAGAACAAGUACUAAAUCGUGCCUCGACAAAAACAACAACUCAACCGUCAUCCACCAAUCGACCUCCGUUCGUUCCGAAACCGCAUCAAUCUACUCCAUAUCAAACGCGAUCAACGUCGGCUUCUUCCAAACGCAAAAAUCCCACUCCUCGGAAAGUUAUCCCGCUUGACAAAUUCAUUAGUCCGGUGAAAAAAUGUUCGCCCAAGCAGAAAACGCAGAAAAGAACCACCACUCCAACGGCUCCGGAGAAGACUCAUCCCACAAAAGCAUCCGUCAAAACGGACAAUCAGCUGAUCGAAGGUACGUACGAAAAUGAAAAUCUCACUCGGUUAUGUUACACUCCCGAUCAGGAGCCAGCCUGCGGAGAUGCAACAAUGCCAGAGCCCGGUAAACAGAUCUACGCCUGUAGAAGUCCUGAUCGAGAUAAAAACGAAAAACCAAAAAGUGAGGCGACACCAGAUUCCAACAAGGAAAAUCAAUCGCUGGAAUGUACCGACGAAGGCAAAGCGAUGGUAGCAGGAGAAAUACAAUGCGAAGAAGAAGAAGAAGAAGAAGGCGAAGAUCAGGACGAUUACGAUGAUUGUACGCUUCAGUCGUAUCCGGAAGAUAAAUCAUCGGGCUACUAUUUCCGGUACGUGUUUGAUGAAACUGAUCAACCAGUCUCUACCAGUGGGUCCAUUUCCGAAAGUCGACUGAUAAAAAAAUGCAACGCCGUACUAGACGGUAGAAAAAUCUAUCUCGAAGCUCAGCCCCCAAUCAAUCUUCUAGAACACAAACCCACGGUGGUCGCAAGUCCGAAAAAGUCCGGCGGUAAAUCGUCUAAAUCUUCUAGUAAAAAAGGAUCCGGCAAAACGACAAUUCCACCAAAAGAACCGGAAGUGAGCUCGUGUCCUGAUGUGGUUCCAGCUACUCCGGUCGCGGUUAAAGCCAAGUUUAAUGUCGUACCGGCAGUGAGAAAUGUAAAACUUUCAACCUCCACCGGAGCAAUCAAUCGACAUUUGAGCUCUUCCGUCGACAAGGCCAAACUACUGCAUCAUGAUGAUGGGUUGUCUUCUACGCAUCGUCACGGUCAAGGAAAAAGCAAUCCCCCGAAGCAACGCGAGAAUGGUGAUAAAGCAAAUGCCACUGCUGCCGUCGUCUGUGCAAGCAAAAAGAAAGAACACAGCCGAUCGCCAUCCCCGAAAAUGCCACUUAAGUUGGAUAUGAAAAAGCGUCAGCAUCAGCAUUCAUUGCCAAAGACAUCCAGUUCAAGGCACACGUCGAAACCGUCAGAGAUUCCACCGGGAAAAGAAUCCAAGCAGGCCAAGGAUAUAUCAGAAUAUGACAUCGAUGAUGUGCUCACUCUGAUACACGGGUAACGAAGAGCGGUUCAAGUUCUGACCUUUGACGAAACCAUUCAUCCUUAAUGUUGCCUGUUUGGACCACACCUGACCCAUUAUUUAUUUCUGUUGUAACACGCAAGUACAGACAAUUGUGUAAUACAAGAACGCUUAUAAUUCAUCAACUGCUCAAUCUUCCGAUAGAAACGUAUCACCCUCAUGUCAUUCCCGGAACACCUUAAAUCGUACCAGGAAGUCGAUUCUUCUGAGGUCGAGCAUUUGUCGGGAUUAACUUUCAUAGCGUUCACUUUACUCCACUCAGCAAUGAUUAACAGUUUCUUUUGGAGAUGUUAUAGGAGAUCUUGACAUCAUCAGCGAAUGAUAGACGAUGUUGAAAUACAGUAAGAAUAUGAAAGGUUCGAGAUUGCUUCCCUGAUGUGGUGAUGCAAGCUUUCCUAGCAACUACAGUAUAGUCUUGGGGGUCCAGCAACUCGAGGUAUGGAUAAUUUGUAGAUCGGCUACAAAUAUUUGUACUACAAAAGACCGAAAUACAAAAAGCAGUACGUCAUAGAAAGCCGAACCUC